UAGGGAAUCUUCCGCAAUGGGCGAAAGCCUGACGGAGCAACGCCGCGUGAGUGAUGAAGGUCUUCGGAUCGUAAAACUCUGUUAUUAGGGAAGAACAAAUGUGUAAGUAACUAUGCACGUCUUGACGGUACCUAAUCAGAAAGCCACGGCUAACUACGUGCCAGCAGCCGCGGUAAUACGUAGGUGGCAAGCGUUAUCCGGAAUUAUUGGGCGUAAAGCGCGCGUAGGCGGUUUUUUAAGUCUGAUGUGAAAGCCCACGGCUCAACCGUGGAGGGUCAUUGGAAACCGGAAAACUUGAGUGCAGAAGAGGAAAGUGGAAUUCCAUGUGUAGCGGUGAAAUGCGCAGAGAUAUGGAGGAACACCAGUGGCGAAGGCGACUUUCUGGUCUGUAACUGACGCUGAUGUGCGAAAGCGUGGGGAUCAAACAGG
rnacentral:rRNA from 1 species